rnacentral:rRNA from 1 species
GUCUUGUAACUGACGCUGAGGAGCGAAAGCGUGGGGAGCGAACAGGAUUAGAUACCCUGGUAGUCCACGCCGUAAACGAUGAGUGCUAAGUGUUAGGGGGUUUCCGCCCCUUAGUGCUGCAGCUAACGCAUUAAGCACUCCGCCUGGGGAGUACGGUCGCAAGAACUGAAACUCAAAGGAAUUGACGGGGGCCCGCACAAGCGGUGGAACAUGUGGUUUAAUUCGAAGCAACGCGAAGAACCUUACCAGGUCUUGACAUCCUCUGACAAUCCUAGAGAUAGGACGUCCCCUUCGGGGGCAGAAUGACAGGUGGUGCAUGGUUGUCGUCAGCUCGUGUCGUGAGAUGUUGGGUUAAGUCCCGCAACGAGCGCAACCCUUGAUCUUAGUUGCCAGCAUUCAGUUGGGCACUCUAAGGUGACUGCCGGUGACAAACCGGAGGAAGGUGGGGAUGACGUCAAAUCAUCAUGCCCCUUAUGACCUGGGCUACACACGUGCUACAAUGGACAGAACAAAGGGCAGCGAAACCCGCGAGUUAAGCCAAUCCCACAAAUCUGUUCUCAGUUCGGAUCGCAGUCUGCAACUCGACUGCGUGAAGCUGGAAU